rnacentral:snRNA from 9 species
AUACCUAUCUGGCGUCGGGAUAUCGUCAUCAUGCAAGUGGUUCUCCCGGGGUGCGGCUGCUCCAUUGCACUGCGGAGUAGUUGACCCUUGCGAUUAUUUUUAUAUUUUAUAAGUUUUACUUCUACGGUGUGUGACACAUUUUUUUUUUUAAAGUGUGUCUAUUUUGGUCGUCACUCC